rnacentral:lncRNA from 1 species
AGUCCCGGCAGAGGGCUCCGCGAAGACAGUGCCGUCGUUGGGCGCGCGCGCGGGCGGGAGCUGUCGGGGCGGGGCGGCACCGCCGAGCUCCGAGCUGUGAGGACCGCCCCGGGCCUUGGGCGGGGCGGGGGCCAGGGAAGGGCGUGCGCAGGAUUGGGGAGCACGUUUUGCGUCUUGCUGUGCGUGAGGAAGCGGGGAUCCAGGUCAAGGCUAUGGAAAGGCAGGACUUUGAAAUGACCCUGUCCUCAGCCUGGAGGAUGCGGUAUUCUGAUUGUCUGGUGCUGUGUCAACUGGGCCUGCCUCUGGGAUAGUGUUGUGGCUGCCCCACGAGAACCCUAUAUGCCAGUUCCAGAAGCAAAAACAAAAAAAGUUCGGGUACAGCGGCUCACACCUGUAAUCCCAGCUCUUAGGGAGAUGGAAACUGGAGGAUCACUUGAGGCCAGGAGUUCAAGACCAGCCUGGGCAACAUAGCAAGACCCAGUCUCUUAAAAGAAAAUUAAAAAGAAAGAGUAAAUAAAGUUCCAGAAGCUUUGCUCUCCU